GUGCUCACUUCGGCAGCACAGAUACUAAAAUUAGAACAAAACAGAGAAGAUUAUCAUGGCCCCUGCACAAGGAUAACAUGCAAAUUCAUGAAACAUUCCAUAUUUUU
rnacentral:snRNA from 1 species